GAUGAACGCUGGCGGCGUGCCUAAUACAUGCAAGUCGAGCGAACAGAUGAUGAGCUUGCUCCUUUGACGUUAGCGGCGGACGGGUGAGUAACACGUGGAUCACCUACUUAUAUGUCUGGGAUAAUUUCGGGAAACCGGAUCUAAUACUGGAUAAUAUAUUGAACCGCAUGGUUCAAUAGUGAAUGACGGUUUUGCUGUCACUUAUAGAUGGAUCCGCGCUGCAUUAGCUAGUUGGUAAGGUAACGGCUUACCAAGGCAACGAUGCGUAGCCGACGUGAGAGGGUGAUCGGCCACACUGGAACUGAGACACGGUCCAGACUCCUACGGGAGGCAGCAGUAGGGAAUCUUCCGCAAUGGGCGAAAGCCUGACGGAGCAACGCCGCGUGAGUGAUGAAGGUCUUCGGAUCGUAAAACUCUGUUAUUAGGGAAGAACAAAUGUGUAAGUAACUAUGCACGUCUUGACGGUACCUAAUCAGAAAGCCACGGCUAACUACGUG
rnacentral:rRNA from 1 species